rnacentral:lncRNA from 1 species
GCCUCCCGACCGACCAAGUAUGUUGCAUCGAUCAAGUGCUGUAGUCUAGUCCGAUCUGGAUCAAUAUGUUUUACCUCAAUCGGCUCUCCACCGACUAAGAUCGACGAUACCUGAUCGACUAAGGGCAACACACUUAACCAAGUUGGCACUAAGCCGACUCGAUUCGACAUGCCGCCUAUGAUGAGGUGUAAUGUUCGAC